rnacentral:rRNA from 1 species
GACGUAGGGCGCGAGCGUUGUCCGGAAUUAUUGGGCGUAAAGAGCUCGUAGGCGGCCUGUCACGUCGGAUGUGAAAGCCCGGGGCUUAACCCCGGGUCUGCAUUCGAUACGGGCAGGCUGGAGUUCGGUAGGGGAGAUCGGAAUUCCUGGUGUAGCGGUGAAAUGCGCAGAUAUCAGGAGGAACACCGGUGGCGAAGGCGGAUCUCUGGGCCGAUACUGACGCUGAGGAGCGAAAGCGUGGGGAGCGAACAGG